rnacentral:rRNA from 1 species
CAGUAGCCGCGGUAAUACGAAGGGUGCAAGCGUUACUCGGAAUUACUGGGCGUAAAGCGUGCGUAGGUGGUGGUUUAAGUCCGUUGUGAAAGCCCUGGGCUCAACCUGGGAAUUGCAGUGGAUACUGGGUCACUAGAGUGUGGUAGAGGAUAGUGGAAUUUCCGGUGUAGCAGUGAAAUGCGUAGAUAUGCGGAGGAACACCGAUGGCGAAGGCAAUCCCCUGGGCCUGCACUGACGCUCAUGCACGAAAGCGUGGGGAGCAAACAGGAUUAGAUACCCCUGUAGUCCCUGUCUCUUAUAC